rnacentral:rRNA from 1 species
AGCGAACGCUGGCGGCAGGCCUAAAACAUGCAAGUCGAACGGAUCCUUCGGGAUUAGUGGCGGACGGGUGAGUAACACGUGGAACGUGCCUUUUGGUUCGGAACAACUCAGGGAAACUUGAGCUAAUACCGAAUGUGCCCUUCGGGGAAAGAUUUAUCGCCAUUAGAGCGGCCGCGUCUGAUUAGCUUGUUGGUGAGGUAAAGGCUCACCAAGGCGACGAUCAGUAGCUGGUCUGAGAGGAUGAUCAGCCACACUGGGACUGAGACACGGCCCAGACUCCUACGGGAGGCAGCAGUUAGGAAUCUUGCGCAAUGGGGGAAACCCUGACGCAGCCAUGCCGCGUGAAUGAUGAAGGUCUUAGGAUUGUAAAAUUCUUUCAGCGGGGACGAUAAAUGACGGUACCCGCAGAAGAAGCCCCGGCUAAACUUCGUGCCAGC